GAUUACAAACCAAAUAAAGGAAGGAGAAGAAGACUUAACGACAUUGUCAACUUUAACGGUUCAUUUACGGAUAGAUGUUUGGUAGGGCAACUUAGUGACAGAAUCUUGACCUGACAACCGUUACAGUUACGUCCAAGUCUCCGUUAAACAUUGACCGCCGCACUGAAGGCUGAAGCACGUGGCCACGAACACUAAGGUCCGUUCAUAUAUUUGUUUGUAAAGAUUUUUUAAUUAGUUGGGGAUGGGUGUAUUAUUUUUCUUUUCCCUCUGCGGAAUUGUGUAAAACUUUUAUUCCCGUGAAUGCCGCCGUGCGGUGAGUCUGAUUUUAUUUGACAGAGACUUAAAAGG
rnacentral:lncRNA from 1 species